rnacentral:rRNA from 1 species
GUACACUCCUGCGGGAGGCAGCAGUGGGGAAUAUUGGACAAUGGGCGCAAGCCUGAUCCAGCCAUGCCGCGUGAGUGAUGAAGGCCCUAGGGUUGUAAAGCUCUUUCACCGGUGAAGAUAAUGACGGUAACCGGAGAAGAAGCCCCGGCUAACUUCGUGCCAGCAGCCGCGGUAAUACGAAGGGGGCUAGCGUUGUUCGGAUUUACUGGGCGUAAAGCGCACGUAGGCGGACUAUUAAGUCAGGGGUGAAAUCCCGGGGCUCAACCCCGGAACUGCCUUUGAUACUGGUAGUCUUGAGUUCGAGAGAGGUGAGUGGAAUUCCGAGUGUAGAGGUGAAAUUCGUAGAUAUUCGGAGGAACACCAGUGGCGAAGGCGGCUCACUGGCUCGAUACUGACGCUGAGGUGCGAAAGCGUGGGGAGCAAACAGGAUUAGAUACCCUAGUAGUCCCAUGAU